ensembl:lncRNA
UGAGGACCCCCAGUUAGACCAGAGGAUCUGGGGGACUGGUGGAGGACCCCCAGUUAGACCAGAGGAGCUGGGGGACUGGUGGAGGACCCCCAGUUAGACCAGAGGAUCUGGGGGACUGGUGGAGGACCCCCAGUUAGACCAGAGGAUCUGGGGGACUGGUGGAGGACCCCGGUGGACGAUGUCAUCGAUGCACUUAUUGAUGAAGCCAGUGGCUGAUGUGGUGUACUCCUCAUUGCGAUCUGAAGAAUCCUGGAACAUGUUCCAGUCUGUGCUACCAAAACAGUCCUGUAGUGUAGCAUCUGCUUCAUCUGACCACUUUUGUAUUGACUGAGUCACCGGUGCUUCUUGCUUUAAUUGUUGCUUGAAAGCCGGAAUCAGGAGGAUGGAAUUAUGGUCAGAUUUGCCAAAUGGAGGUCAAGGGAGAGCUUUGCACACAUCUCUGUGUGUGGAGUAAAGGGGUCUAGAGUUUUUUCCCUCUGGUUGCACAUUUAACAUGCUGGUAGAAAUUAGGUAAAACGGAUUUAAGUUUCCCUUUAUUAGAGUCCCCGGCCACUAGGAGCGCCGCCUCUGGAUGAGCGUUUUUCUGUUUGCUUAUGGCCUUAUUCAGCUCAUUGAGUGUGGUCUUAGUGCCAGCAUCGGUCUGUGGUGGUAAAUAGACAGCUACGAAGAAUAUAGAUUAAAACUCUCUAGGUAGAUAGCGUGGUCUACAGCUUAUCAUGAGAUACUCUACCUCAGGCAAGCAAAACCUUGAGACUUCCUUCCUUGCACCAGCUGUUGCAAAUACACAUAGACCACCACCACUUGUCUUACCAGAGGCUGCUGUUCUAUCCUGCUGAUACAGUGUAUAGACCACCACCCCUUGACUUACCAGAGGCUGCUGUUCUAUCCUGCUGAUACAGUGUAUAGACCACCAACCCUUGUCUUACCAGAGGCUGCUGUUCUAUCCUGCUGAUACAGUGUAUAACCCACCAGCUGUAUGUUUUUCAUGUCGUCAUUCAGCCACGACUCAGUGAAACAUAAGAUAUUACAGUUUUUAAUGUCCCGUUGAUGGGAUAUACAUGCUUGUAGUUUGUCCACUUUAUUAUUGAGCGAUUGUAAGUAGGCCAGUUGUACUGAUGGAAAAGGCACUCUCGUUGCCGGAUCCUCACAAGGCACCCGAUCUCCUUCCGCGACACCGCCGUUUCCCUCUCCUGCGAAUGACGGGGAUGAGGGCCUGUUCGGGUGUCUGGAAUACAUCCUUCUCGUACGAAAAAAAUGAUUUGUCCAGUUCAAGGUGAGUAAUCUCUGUUCUGAUGUCCAGAAGCUCUUUUCGGUCAUAAGAGACGGUAGCAGCAACAUUAUGUACAAAACAAGUUACAAACAAUGCGAAAAAACAACAAAAUAGCACGGUUGGUUAAGAGCCCAUAAAACGGCAGCCAUCCCCUCCGGCGCCAUUUAUAUAUCUGUCUAUACAGCCAAUGACUCCAGGGAAGUUCCCAUAGUAAUAGAACUCUACCUUGUAGUUGGCUUGGGCAGCAGCAUCAGCGAAAUUGAUGUAAUUGUCGUUCAGUUCACAUAUAGACUUUGUGGACAUUUCUGCAUACAGUCAGUUCACUUACACUAAUCUCCUGUUUCACGAUGGAAGGUUCCAGAUGCCAAAAACCUCAAGGUGAUCAGCAGUUGUUGGGAAGGAGGGAUGGGCCUUCCCUGAAGAUAGUCAGAUGAAAGCCUUGGCUCAAGCAAACAAAUAGAUGCAUUUUCUUUGUACACACGGAAAAUGUCACAGAAAUUGAGUUCUUCAAAAUCAUUCAGUGAGUUGCUCCUGUCUUUUACCGCCCUUUUGCCUUGGAGGUGCUCUUUGAUGAUCAUUGAAAUAGUCCAGGUAAUACAUUUCCCUCCAUUGCCAAGUUCAGUCUAGGGGCCAACAUCCAUUAAUCUGAAGUUAAGCCUCUGGACAAGUCUUCACCUAGAUCUAGAUUAACUCUAAUCUUCCUUCUGGAAAUCAGAUGUUUUAAAUCUAGACUAGGGCAAGUGUGAAAAUAUUUGAAACCAUGUCUGAGAAAUUUAGUCUAGGAUUAGCCUUAAUCUGUGUCCAGGAAACCGCCCUACAAAUGGAUAACCUCUACAAGCAUGAAAUGGAAAUGUGCUUUUUACAUAUCCCAGUUUCCCCUGCGACACUGUCAGAGAGUGGGGUCACAGCCAGGGAACAGCCAUUAUUGACAGCGACCCUGGAGCAAUUAGGGUUAAGUGCCUUGCUAAAGGGCAGAUCAACCUAUUUUUCACCUUGAAGAUUCGAACUACACUGAACAAAAAUACAAAUGCAACAUGCAACAACUUCAAAGAUUUUGCUGAGUUACAGUCAAUAAGGAAAUCGUUCAAUUAAAAUAAUUUCAUUAGGCCCUAAUCUAUGGAUUUCACAUAGAAACCUUAUUUUUCCUGCUCAAUGGUCUAACCGCUAGGCUACCUGCCGCCACACCAAUCCACCUAUCAGCAUCCAGCAUCACACCAACCCACUUAUCAACACACAGUACCACACCAACCCACCUAUCAGCAUCCAUAACCCAUCAUUUUCUUUCUAGGGUUCUUUCUGCUCUGAUCUCCUCUCUGUCUCCCUCAGGCCUGUUUUCUAGGGUAUGAAUUGGCGUUAGAGUGUCUAAAUUGGCUGGCUCCCACCUGGUGAAGUCUCCUGCUAUGACCUGUCAUUAAGAGGUUGUAACCUGCAUUGACCUGUCGCUGUCUUCAGACUGGACUCUUCUCUUGACCUCAGUUUCAUGCUUCCCAAAUGGCACACUAUUCCCUAUAUAGUGCACUACUUUUGCCUAGGGCCUGUAGGUAAUAGGGCUCUGGUCAGUUUUGCACUAUAUAGGGAAAGUAGUGAACUAUAUAGGGAAUAGGGUGAUGGUUUUUGUUGUUGUAUUUAACCUUUAUUUAACUAGUCAUGGUUUUUCAUGACAACAACAAUGUGAAUUCUUGUCCUCCUUGUUGUUAAUGUGGUUCUAAAAAUAUAUUCACUGAUGUUUCAGUUUGACAUCUUGUCCUGUUUCGGUUUGACAUCUUGUCCUGUUUCAGUUUGACAUCUUGUCCUGUUUCAGUUUGACAUCUUGUCCUGUUUCGGUUUGACAUCUUGUCCUGUUUCAGUUUGACAUCUUGUCCUGUUUCGGUUUGACAUCUUGUCCUGUUUCAGUUUGACAUCUUGUCCUGUUUCAGUUUGAUAUCUUGUCCUGUUUCAGUUUGACAUCUUGUCCUGUUUCGGUUGAUAUCUUGUCCUGUUUCAGUUUGACAUCUUAUCCUGUUUCGGUUGAUAUCUUGUCCUGUGAUUCACGUCUUGUUGAAGAGAAGUUUAAACGCACAGUGAAAUAAUGACAAUCAUGAUAUUUAUUUAAGGGGAUGAUUUUUACAUAUUUCUGUGAACCUAAGGUUGUGUCUAAAAGGCACCUGAUAAUAGUGCACUAUAUUUAUAUUCAUUAUUCAUUGUUAAUAGUAACAAUAAAGACGUGUUUGAAUGUUGAAGAUUUAAAACAAUUUUUUUAAAUGCCUUCAUUUGUUUAUUGACCAAUUUAGGGGUUUUGAUGUACAUUUUAAAUGUGAUAUAAUGUGAUAUAAUUUGAUUAAUUUGGACAAUUAAUCAAAUCCAUUUAUGAGCAAUCCAGAUUUAUCUCAGAACAGGUUUUAUACAUUUGUUUGAAUAAAGUGUAAUUUGCCAAAUAUGACAUUGCUGUGUCUAUUAAUGUAUCGUUUAUGGGUAAUUCAGGCCCUAAAUUACCAU